GAUGAACGCUGGCGGCGUGCCUAAUACAUGCAAGUCGAGCGAACAGAUGAGGAGCUUGCUCCUCUGACGUUAGCGGCGGACGGGUGAGUAACACGUGGAUAACCUACCUAUAAGACUGGGAUAACUUCGGGAAACCGGAGCUAAUACCGGAUAAUAUAUUGAACCGCAUGGUUCAAUAGUGAAAGACGGUUUUGCUGUCACUUAUAGAUGGAUCCGCGCCGCAUUAGCUAGUUGGUAAGGUAACGGCUUACCAAGGCAACGAUGCGUAGCCGACCUGAGAGGGUGAUCGGCCACACUGGAACUGAGACACGGUCCAGACUCCUACGGGAGGCAGCAGUAGGGAAUCUUCCGCAAUGGGCGAAAGCCUGACGGAGCAACGCCGCGUGAGUGAUGAAGGUCUUCGGAUCGUAAAACUCUGUUAUUAGGGAAGAACAAAUGUGUAAGUAACUAUGCACGUCUUGACGGGACCUAAUCAGAAAGCCACGGCUAACUACGUG
rnacentral:rRNA from 1 species